rnacentral:rRNA from 1 species
UACGAAGGGGGCGAGCGUUGUUCGGAAUUACUGGGCGUAAAGGGCGCGUAGGCGGCCGAUCAAGUCAGAUGUGAAAGUCCUGGGCUUAACCUGGGGACUGCAUUUGAUACUGAUUGGCUUGAAUGCAGGAGAGGAUAGCGGAAUUCCCAGUGUAGAGGUGAAAUUCGUAGAUAUUGGGAAGAACACCGGUGGCGAAGGCGGCUAUCUGGACCGUAACUGACGCUGAGGCGCGAAAGCGUGGGGAGCAAACAGG